rnacentral:rRNA from 1 species
GGUUGCGAUCAUACCAGCACUAAUGCACCGGAUCCCAUCAGAACUCCUCAGUUAAGCGUGCUUGGGCGAGAGUAGUACUAGGAUGGGUGACCCCCUGGGAAGUCCUCGUGUUGCAACCC